ACAACACAGCAGUAAAAAAGAUGUCAUCUUAUCAGAUGAAAAGGAACACAGGCCAACCAGACACCAUUUAUAGAGACUAAGCUUCAGAAGUGACAACUGAAGCCAAGACUCCUGGGGGAGGGAAUGUUGCUCACUGACCUCAAGCUGUUGCAACGUGAACUGCACGACAGCCUGCAAGGACCUGCUCUGCCAAAGAACCAUCCUGCCACGGCCUCCUGGCUGCCAGGCUGGUUUCCAGUGAGGAACACCUCAAGCAAAGCAAUUACUGAGUAAACCUGAACACACCAAAGGAGUAAACGACAGGUUACAACACCUAGAACAAGAUGCC